GGCCAGGUGGCGGAGUGGUUAACGCGGUAGACUCGAAAAGAAUUCGUGGAUAGAUCUGUCUGAUCUACACCGGAAUUCCUAGUGAUCUACUUCCUUCGGGAGCGUCUGUUCGAAUCAGGCCCUGGUCG
rnacentral:tRNA from 1 species